rnacentral:misc_RNA from 1 species
AACAUCGCGCACCUGCGGGAACCUGCGGAAGGAUCAUUACAGAGUUGCAAAACUCCCUAAACCAUUGUGAACGUUACCUAAACCGUUGCUUCGGCGGGCGGCCCGGGUCCUUCCCGGCGCCCAUCGGCCCUCGCGGGCGCCCGCCGGAGGUAAACCAAACUAUUGCAUUGUAUGGCCUCUCUGAGUCUUCCGUACUGAAUAAGUCAAAACUUUUAACAACGGAUCUCAGAUCGGAAGAGC